AUCGUCCCCCCCCCCCCAAACUUCUCUUGCUUCUCAUCCCUCUCUUUCUUGUUCUGUUCCCUCUCACACAUCCUCCCCUAACGAACUCCUUCCCCAACGUCUCCAAUCUUGGCGUCCGCUGGCCAGCUGCUGUAGGUGCUCUCUUGGCCAGCUUCACUGGUCUCGGCAUCCACCAAUGAUUGACUUAGUUGCUAGCAAUGACAAAUAUUCCCUGCAGACAUAACUGCACAGGUUCAGACCAUAGUGGGAGAUCACCUAUUUGGACGAAAAGCUCCAACUGAAUUGUUCACACUUUCCACAUCAGCUUUAUCAUUCCUGUGGGUGAUCAAUUGGUGCUAUGCGCAAGAAAGAGGCGAGUGAUUCCCCUUAUGAGAUUUGUUGUUAUAUCCUAUUUCCGAUAUCUUUCAAGUCCGUGAGUUUGCAAUUUAGAACUUUUUUUAAAAAAAAUAAGUGCAAUUUAGAACACUUAUUCUAUUUGUCCAGACAACAACCUACUUUUGUUAGGAAAGUACAUCCUUUUAUUUAGUUUCAUGAGAGUAAUUUGUCAUCUAUUAAUAACUUUUAGAUGGGUGGCGUGCAAACAAACAAUUUGAUCAUAAAUAACUAAGAAAAUAACACAACAUCAAUUUGAACAGAAUAAGAAAGCAUUUUAACGAUCACUUUGGCCUGUGGUUAUCAGAAUACCAAGAACAUGGUCAGUUUUGUCUGUGCACCUGUCACUGACCUGUGGUUAUUGAUCACAUUUUGAUUGACUUGAGCAAGCACAAUGAAAAAUAGUUAAUACUGACAAACAAUUUUCAUUCAGAUCUUGCACUUCUCUUUACUGUUUGAAUAAUGCGGAAACUAAACCUUUGUCCAGUAAUAGUUCUCUUAUGCAUCACAAUUUCACGUAUUGACCCAUCCUAUAGCUAGGUCCAUGUACUUUGAUUUCAGAUGGUAUUAGAAAAAAGGUUAGAGAAGUUCAUUUAUAUGUAAAUUUACAUAUAUUUGUUUUCUGCUAUAUCUUACAAUUCAAUGACAAAACAAAUUACGAUAAAGUUCUUAGCUACCAAAUCCUCACUGAUAACAACUAUACAUUUCCCUUAGCACCAUGGUCUGAUGAUGCUAGAUGCCAAACACAAGCAUGGAAAGUUCCAAUAACAAUAGAUGUCCAUGGUAUUCCUCCUUAUGCAUUUCACAUAAAAAGUCUUUCUGUAUUGCUUGAUCCCUACUGUGACAUCGAAACCUAUACCAUGGACAAAAAAAACAGGGAUUUGUACUGUCGAAGGGACUACAUUGAGUGUCAAUUCCAUCCCAAACACAGGUUUCCUCUCAUACCCACGUCGCACUGGUUACGAAACAGUCAUACAUACAUUCCCUGUUACCAUGAAAACUAGCUUGUUAUCUGUACAAAAAAAACUCCUCUGAUUGGAUACCACCUGCUUCCCUCAAUGUACACUCACACAAUGAAAAUUCAUCUCACACUAAAGGUAACUAUUAUUACUCCACUACAACAACUUACUAUACCUAAAACCUUAUUCAUAACUCUUUCAUUCCAGAUCCAGAAAAAGAUCUAGGCUCAGACAUGGUGAGGGAAUGCAACAGGGCUGUGUACGAAGGCCAGCUACAUUUUUUCCCUCUCUUCAAUAAAUAAACUACAUUUCUUUCUGCACAACUAUAUUUUUAUACACAAUUGUGCCAACAUUACAGCUGAAAUAGAAGAUGAAAGAAGAAUGAAGAAUACCUACCUUCCAUGGCUUCACAUAUUCUGGGGAAAGUUCGGACGAUGAGUACCCAAAUGAAGCCUACUAUUACACCCAGAUCGCGAACCAAAGAACUGAUAGUUCAAUUCAAUAGGGUCAAAGCAGUUCGAAAAACUAUCCAGAUCUGCACUCAUCAACAAGACAACAGGCAAUAUUGUUCCUAAGGCUUGGACGACUCAUCUUUUGAUAUUAAUGCAUAUAUCUAUGCAUGCCAUAUGUGUAUAUAUGUAUAUACAUACAUAUACCUAUGUCAGUACUUAAACUUUCAAUGUAGUCCAAAAAUCAAUGAUCACUGCUUAUUUACAAGCGCCUUAUGUAAUAUAUUCGAACCCUCUAAAACCUA